CUUGGGUAUGUCCUUAUCAGCAGCAUGAAAAUGGACUAAUACAAAUAUGCUGAGUUAAGUCCUGGACAAGAAACACUUUGCCAACCUCUGGACUAGACUGAGUAAAGCAAGCAGAAAGAUCCAAUUUUAAAAAGAGGUGAGGAAAAUGGGACAACUUGGCUAUGGAGAGAGCAAGAAGAAUGCAACUGAUGUGCACAAAGUUUGAAGACAAAGUUACUCAGUUUAGAUCAGGGGUCCACAACCCCCAGCCAUGGACCAGUACUGAUUUGUGGCCUGUUAGGAACUCAGUUGCAGUAGGAGGUGAAUGCCAGAGUUCCCGGAGCCUUCACUGUCUUCAUGAUUAGAUCCCUCCAUACUCUCCAUCACUAAUGCCUUGGCUGGAGAUUACCAUUCAGAGACCAUGUACUGAGCAGAUAAAUGCCAAUCAUCACAGCAUUGUCUCAGGCCUAAAUGAAUAAAGGCAUGACACUGAGAUUGAAGGCUAGUUCUACUUCAGAACCACAGAGACAUGAGCACCAGCAAGUUUGAGGUUGGAUAAGGAUCUUCAGAACUCCUCAGCUUCAGAUGGUCAAGCACUGCUUCCUCCCUUCUUCAACGGCAUCUCUAGCAUGAAGAGGCACAACAGAGUCCAUGCCUUCACCUCCUCUGGCCAACUCUAAUCAUGAAUCUCCUGUGAAUCAGCUGGGAAACAUGCAGAAUAUGAGAUUGGGGCCCUCAUUCAUACUAACUGGAAUUUUCCUUGGCAAUGGUAGAACAGAAGCUUCUCCAUUCUUUACAGAUGAAUUUGCUUUAAGUAAGAUCUUCCCAGAGUACAAAAGAAAUUUAUUCGGAAAAUUUCAAACUAAUAUGGCCUUCUCACUGGAACUGGAUCCACCAUCCCUUUUGCUCAGUGUCGUCUUGUUUAUGUUUUAGAUCCUUUGCAAGGUGAGCUACACCUCUGAGAGGAGCUCCUGGAAAUUACCAGAUACUUAAUGUUGCCAGCUGUUACAGAUGGAGGUGAUGCACCUUGAUGAUGCAUAAGUACUGAGCCUGAAUCCUACAAAUGGGAAAAGGUGCUCAUAUCAGACUUAUGCAUUAGAUAUCAAACUACAAAAUACAAGUGCAGUUGAUACCUGUUUAGAUGAUGUAGAGCAAGGUAACAGAGUAUGUAUUAAAAGCAAAAAUUCCCAUGAAGCUGAACCGUUACUCUCUGCCAAAACCUCCCACUCUCAAGUUUUAAGAGCCAAUAAACCUUGUAUCUGUACGUUCA
rnacentral:lncRNA from 1 species